rnacentral:rRNA from 1 species
UACAGAGACUGCAAGCGUUAUUCAGAUUCACUGGGCGUAAAGGGUGCGCAGGCGGCCAAGUGUGUGAGGCGUGAAAGCCCGGGGCUUAACCCCGGAAUUGCACCUCAAACUACAUGGCUAGAGCAUUGGAGAGGGUAGCAGAAUUCAUGGUGUAGCAGUGAAAUGCGUAGAUAUCAUGAGGAAUACCAGAGGCGAAGGCGGCUACCUGGACAAUUGCUGACGCUCAGGCACGAAAGCGUGGGGAGCAAAAGGG